rnacentral:rRNA from 1 species
GUAGUCUGCAACCCGACUACAUGAAGCCGGAAUCGCUAGUAAUCGCGGAUCAGAAUGCCGCGGUGAAUACGUUCCCGGGUCUUGUACACACCGCCCGUCACACCAUGGGAGUCGGAAAUGCCCGAAGUCUGUGACCCAACCGCAAGGAGGGAGCAGCCGAAGGCAGGUCGGAUGACUGGGGUGAAGUCGUAACAAGGUAAC